AGAACAUAGUUUUUGGACAAAUUCAAGAAAUAUAACAUAGCUAUAGACCUAUAGUAGAAGAGGAAGAUGGUAAUAAUAUGGACAUCGAUAGGAUAGAUGAGAUACUUAAAGAUAUGCAAUCAGAAUUCAGCCCAAACAUUGAGGAUAAGUCGUAUAUAACGAGCCCUUAAUUUCGUUGACUAGACCGAGCCGUGGAAAUAUCUCUUCUAUCUUUUGGUUGUCAUAUUCCAAAACUAAAGCCUACCAGAAUUAUUUUUAACGGUCAUCCAAAAAGCUGCGCCAAAAAAUAACUAGUAUUUGAUUGCGCUAGCCGAAAAUAAUCCCAUUUUCGAUUGGAAGCUUCUGGCGCGUAACUCCUAAUAACUUUAGUUUCGUCGAAAAUAAACUAAUUUUGACGGAAAUAACUUAUUUUCAAUGAUCUCCGGCCAAAAAUUAUUGACUAUUUCUAUAGUAGAAGCCUGUAUCUACUAAAUCCAGUCCACGACCCACUUGGGUGGUUCACGGUGGCCCAGACUGCUGCGCCUCACCAACCAACGAGAGAGCACGAAGCACCUAGCAGCCCGGCCUUGUCGUUGUACGGUCCCACCGGCGCCGCAGCGGAAGAGAUGGAAGCUUAUGCCCCCGCCGGCAGCUACCGGCCGGUGUGCGACACGGUGGUGUUCGUCUGCCUCGCGUCCGCCUCCGCCCUCAUCGUGUUCAUGGUGGCCGUCUGCUUCCGCAACGCCUUCGCCGCCAACGGGUACGCGACCGCUGCCGUGGCCACAAACGGUGCCGCCGGAGCCACCGCUGCCAACGGCAGAAGCCGGUGCGGGCUGGCGCCGUCCGCGCUGUCGGCGAUCCCCGUGCUCGCUUACCGCCGGAGGGGCGCCGGGUGGGCGCAGUGCGCGAUCUGCCUCGCCUUGGUGCGGGACGGGGAGACGGUGCGAUUGCUGCCGGCGUGCGGCCACCUAUUCCACGUCGAGUGCAUCGACCUGUGGCUGCGCUCUCACGCAACAUGCCCGCUUUGCCGGCGUGGCGUCGUCGAGGCUCCCGUCGAAAAGAUGGUUAUUCAGCUGAACUGAGAGGCUUAUUUUGUAAGGCUGUGAGUUAUGCUUAUACUUCUAGGCUGGGUUUGGGAGCAACUAGAUCAUCAAAGACCACUUUCUCUGGUACCAGAUCUCAAUUGGAUGUUUGGCCUUGCUAAAUUUCUUUCUUUUAUCAUUAAAAAUACUUUACAAGACAGUUUGCAUAUUAGUUUUCAUGUUCUUAAUUGGUUGUGACAAUAAUCAUUCGAGAGCUGUUGCAUGUGGAAGGGCUGCCGGGUCCCGUUGGUGGCGUCGUGGCGUCAGCGUGAUUUGAGAUGAGAUUGGACCCGGCUGCGCGGUAUUCGCUGUGAAGGUAGACGGCCAUGACGACCAACACCAAGCACGCCUACAAGCUCCAGGAGUUUGUGGCGCACUCAUCCAAUGUUAACUGCCUCAAGAUCUCCAGGGACGCCGGCUGCUACAAGGUCAUCCUCGACUGCACCCCUGAGCUGCGUGCCUACUAUGCCAAGUGCGGAUUCGUGGAGAAGGGUGUCCAGAUGGUCGUCUACUUCUGAGUUCUGAUCUAGAGGUAUGCUACUUUGCAUUGAUAUGGCUCCUCUGAUUAAGUGAUGGACGAAAUGAUGUAGUUGUUCGUUGGAAAAAACAUUUAGUUUUAGUAGAGCGUCUUAGGUGGACCAAGCUUUAAGCCUACAAGAAUCAAAUGCAUCUGAUCUGAGCCAAAAGCACAAACACUCCAAACUGUAAGUGCAUAACAUUUCUUAUGUGUAGUCAGCUUGGUUUGCUGCAGGUACCUCUGUCUGAAAAUAAAAAGGGUGUAUUUGUCAUGAAAAUAAGCUUUAAUGAACUCUGUAGCUUUCAUUCAAAUAGCUUAGUUCUCUUCCUUUUUGUAGAAGCAUAUUUUUGCUACCAAAAAAGAUCUGGUAUGUUUACCCACUCUUAUGCUAUUUCUCUUGUACUCCUAAUCUCUAUGGUAUUUCUGCAGCCAUGGACUACAAUGUUGAUGAAUGCAGACUAUACCACUCUUGUUGAUUCUAUCACCACCUUGGAGUCACUACUAGAAAUUUGUAACUAUCAAGAUGUGAACCCUUAACUGGCAUUGGAGAAACAACUACAGUCAAGCUCGAGUUGUUUCUGUUUUGGGCUACUGAACAUAGAAAAUUAUAAUAUGUAGAAUUCACACAACAACAGUAGUUAAGCUUGAGCCAUGUUUGUCUUGCCCUAUGAAACACAGAAAAUGAUGCUUUUGUGAAAACAGAAAAUGAUGCCUGUGAAACCAGAUCCUUUGGGACCAUGAACAAAUUUGUUUUUGUGCAUUGUACUAGGUGAUAUGGCAGAGGUAUAACUAGGAUGGCUUGUACCUUACUACCUCCAUCCCGAAAAGAAUGCAGUUUUGUCUAUGCACCUCGACAAGCAUUCCUUUUGGGAUAGUGGUAGCUACAAGUAACGUCGUUACGAGAGAGACAGAAAGAGAGCAAGAGAGAUUUUAUUGUGCUUCCACUAUAAGGUGCACUUGCUAUCCUGAGAAUGGUUAAAUAUGAGCCACUUAAAUGAUCUUUUUCUUUUAGUACACUGUCUGAAUAGUCGUGCUACCUUCCACCAAUUCCCAUGGUAGUUUUUAGAGGUUGGCUUUGUUGUUGUUACAGGUAAUGAUACAUCUAAUCCAUUGUUUGAAUUGGUUAAGGCUUCUAUUAUGUUCUAUACUCGUGUGCUCUUGUCUGUUUAUUCUUUUGUGCUACUUUGUGCAUUUUCUUUUAAUCGGAUAUUGAUGAGAUAAUUAAGUAAAGGAAGAAAGCUAGGAUUUGCAUCUCUUGCUGUUGCCAGUGUUUGUAUGUUUAUUUCAUUUGCAUGUCUUCAUAUUGAAUUUUCAUGUUUGCUUGUUGAAUUAUGUACAUACCAAAUUUUUUCUCCUAGCUAACUACACAUUUAACUCUUAACUAUGAUAUAUAAUUGAACAUAACCUCCCUAAAGGAAAAUAUAAUGGAUAUACAUUGACGUAUAGACAUAAAUUCAAUAAAGCAAACAAUGGUCAACAAGGGAAUGAUAUUACCAUUUCAACCACUAACAAUGAUGUUUCACAAAAUUAACUAUUUUGUUGAUAUGACAAAGGUUGUUCUUCUAAAACUUUUUAUUUAUAUUUUUUUAGUUGAUCACCAGCCAAGAUUGUUUCUACAUGCAUAUGGGAAAUAAAAUCAUAGGUGUAACUGAUAAAAGACUACAGUUGCUAUCUGAAGAAAGUGGAGUAUUUAGGCCAUGUGUCUUAACGGCACUGGUUGGCUCAAGUAGUGUUGGAAGGAUGACCCAUCUUGAUGUUUUAGUUGGUAGAAAAACAGGUGGAUGUAUUGAAGGUGAUAUCAAGAUUUCUGGCAGGUUGUCAAGGGCCUAGGCGUCUAGAGCAGGGGGCCCUCGGCUACGAAGGUCGUAGCCGCGGUUCGUCGUCUUCUCCGGUGAGGUUAUACCCCUCUGCCACAGGCUUGGUUCUAGGGUAGCAGCCCUAGGCGCUUGAGAGUCAUUACAAGAGAGACAGAUUGGUUUGAUAAUAUAUUCAUCCCUUCUUUGUCUCCUGCGUACAGGCAUAUAUAUAGGCCACCGGUUGACCAACUAGGCAACCACUAAUUAGGCAAGUGACUAAUUGGAAUUAUAUCCCCUACAAUUUAGGUCUAUCAAUUUAGCCACCAAAUCAGUCACUUUGCUUUGCCAUGCCUUCCUUGCGCGCGUUUUCCUUUGCCAUGCCUUCCUUGUACGCGCUGCUGCCAGCGCCCCCUGCGGCCUCUCGCUUUUGGCGCGCAUAGGUGCGGCCCCACAUGAGUGACCGCUCUCUAUGAUGCCCAUGACAUCUCCCCCUCCCUUGAGAACCAGCUCGUCCUCGAGCUGCCAUAGA